AUACAAAGUAAACGAUGAUUAAAAUAUACAAGUAAAUAAAUAAUGAUUAAAUUAAUUCGACGAUUAAGAAGAGCAACAACCGCCGGCAAAACAAAGAAUAACCAAAUUUCAUGUAAAAAUAACGGGAAUAAUAAAUAAAUAAUCAAAUGAAUGAAUGAAGAAAGGAAUGAAAAAGAAAAUACGCAAAUAAAUGAAAAUAAAUGAUUAAAUAAUUAAACGAUAAGUAAGAGAUGCGCGUCUAUAUUAAUGACGCACAGUUCAUGUGAAAGUGGAAAUAUGGAAAGUAAAUAAUAAUAGGAACAAUCAAUCACGAUUCGAAACUGUAAACUGGGCAGAAAAACUAUUUUCAACCAAAUUUGAAUAAUGCGACGUACGACGUUUUUUUUUUUUUUCUUUCCUCACGUUUUUAAUCAUGUUUUAAACAUUUUUUUUGCAUCGUGUUUUAUAUUGCCCACAUCUGUUCCAAUCAAUGGGGCAUUCCAUGCGAGCUUUACCAAAUGUCUAAGUCUAACUGUCAAAUAGGGUGCGACCUCUUGAUAGGGCCGCUCACGGGCUGUGAGUGGAAUGAAUUUAUGAGAAUUUCGGUUCCCCCACACUUGACCACACAUGCUCGUUCUCACUGUAUUGUUGAGAGAGAAUGCGAAAAAUUGGUAGUGGGGGAUGCACCCGAUCUCGGAUUAGUGGAAGCGGCACUAUUGAGAGGUUGCACUGUAUAUAAUUUUACAUCGGUGUUGAAAUUUUAAAUUUUCUUGUUAAACAGUAAAUUGUGAAAAAAAUUUUUCAAGCUCUAAAACUUAGCACGUGGUUUCAAAGUUCAAACAUAUUUUAUUUGCCGUUAAAUAAUUUCACAGAAGUGUUGUUAUACAAUCGCAGAGUCGACGAUUUUCAUGAUAUUUUUAUUUUAUUUUAUUUAUUUUUUUUUUUGUCAUCGCCGCAUUGUUGUUACAAGGUAUUUUUUUAAACAAGAGGUAACUACACAAAAAAAGAAAGAAUAGGGUUUCAUGUAAAGUUAAAUUGAAUUGUUCAUGUGGGUAUGCCUGAGAUAUCGUGAAAACCUCUUCAAGUUUGUCUUUUGCGAACUUCGUCCCCUCUGUGAUAUAUAUAUAUAUAUUAUAUAUGUACGAAUUUAUCGUUUCUCUAUUUUUGGCUGCAAAAAAGCAAACUUACGCUUAUUUUAUAACGAAAUGGUUUAUUAUUAUUAUUAUUAUUAUUAUUAUUAUUAUUAUUAUUAUUAAUGUGCAUAUUCAUAUUAUUAUUACCAUUAUUAUCGUUAUUGUGGUUAUUACCGUUAUUGUUAUUGUUAUCAUUAACAAAAACAACAACAUUAUCAUCAAGGUCAUUAUUGUCAUUGGCAUUAAAUGUUUUAAUCGCCUAAUCAAUUAAUCAAUAAGUCGAUCAGUCGCUGGGAUAAAGGCGAGCAGAUUAAUUAAUAAUUAAAAUGAAUUUCCUAAUACUCUCAAAAGCGACAAAACUAGCAAGAAAUUAUACAUAAACAGUGUAAUUCGUCUCGAAAAUAAUUUUUGUACCAUAGAGUACUACUGAAAAUGUAUUCUAACGUUAAGUAGGGUAGAGAUAAUCGUGACAAUGGUAACUUGACAUCCUGUAAAUCGUACGCCAGAACGAUAUCGUUUUUGUGAUGAAAUUUAGAAAUGGUCCAAAAAUUAUGCCGCAAAAAUAAUUGGAAAGAAAGAAAGAGAAAAAAAAAAAAAAAAAUGAAAAUUGUAAUUACGAUAGUUAUAAUUAUAUCUAGCUAUGAUAUUAAUAAUAAUAUAGCAAAUUUUUUUGGAAGAGUACCAAUGACGUGUGUUGUCUGUUUUGUUUUUGAUUUUCUUCUUUCUUUUCUUCAAUGUUUCCAAAAUCGUUAAUUUUCUUCCCGUUAUUGUUGGAACUGGUUUUUUUCACCCGUAGGUACGUCCUUUUUUCUCCCUUCCCUUUUUCGCAAGGAGAUUAAUAAUCUUAAGCUUUGAGCAAGUUACCGAUCAAAGGAACGGAAAGAACUCGAAAAAAAAAGAAAAAAAAACAAAUCAGAAUAAACGAUCGGAUACGAAAUCUCAACGGGAUUAGGAUCAAAGGAUUAGGAAUUUUUUUUUAAAUACGCACUCGCACGCAAACAAAAAAUCGUUAGGACCUUCCGGCAAUGUAUAUUUGACAUAUUAUUCAAUUUGAGUAAAUAUCAGAUUUUUAUACAACAAUCGUGAAAAAAAACGGCGACAGACACAUUUCUACAAUAUUAAAUGCAGUCGAUUUGCGAUUUACAAUCGGUGGUGAAUCACCGAUGUGUCAUAUUGAUAAUUAUCAUUAUUAUUUUAAUAAAUACUGUACGGAACCAAACAAGAAUUUUAACUUUCCGCAAAUUGCUUGCACGAUAUUUCUAAAAAUACGAAAGUGGAGUAGAAAAGAUAUGUAUACGUACAUCCAUUAAAAAAAAAUAUACGACAACUUCCGUCAGUUCAUUGAAUCUAAUAUUUGGUUUUUGCUGACACACAAAUGAAAUCAAUCAUUUUCACCAUCGUAAACUUAGUGGUGUACCAAUGAUAGGAGCCGCAACAAUGCAAAAUUACUACAAAAAAAUAACAGUGAUAAUAAUAAUAGUGAAAUAAUAAUGAUAGUGAAAUCAUGUGUCCAAAAUGAAUUACAACCGUCAAAAGAUUAGGAUGAAAAAAGUGAAUGUAAAAAUCCAUUCCAAAUACUUGUUAGGAAUUAGUAAUCAGUAAUGUUGAAAUGAAAUUCAAUCAUUCGAUAAAAUUGGUAGAGAAGUUUAAAAGCAAUAACAGCAACAGCGAUAAAUCAUUGAACAAGGGUAGCAGUGAAAAAAAAACAUCCUACAAAAAUCAGAAAAGAGUUGAAGCAAAUUCUGAUUUCUGCUAGUAUUUUUUCAUAUCUGUAGUCAUUUCUUGAAACGUUCUACAUAUGUAUAAUAUAAAUAGGUUUGGUGUAGAAUAUUGAUCUAUACGUAUGCACGUAUCAUGUAUUAUACAUAUAUUUUAUAAGAGUAAUGAUAACAAUAAUAAUAACAAUAAUAAUAGUAAUACGGAUGAUGAGAGACGUAGAUAUCAAUUGGUACACACAUACCCACUUAAACAAUAAAAAAUAAUAACUAGUAUAAUGCAUAUAGGAAUAUAUCGUAGGAAUAUAAAAUACUAAAAUCAUGUCACGAUUGUUGAUUGGAAUUUCUUAUAUAUAUGUACUAUCAAAUCAAUUAGCCUGUACAAUAAUGAGAUGUAGCAAUGAGUGAAACGACAACAAAAGAAAAAGAAAUUAACAAUAACAAAUCUCCACUAUAUAUAACGGUACCGUUAAUAAAAGUAAUAGUAAUAAUAAUGAUGACGAUUACGGCGACAACAACAACAAAACAACAACAACAACAAUAACAAUAUCAAUAGGAAUAAUUGCGCGGCAGCGUAAAAAGCGGCAGCAGCCCGUAUAUACUAUUAUAUUUACUAUAUGCGUAAUUAAUAAUUUAUACACGUGCGUUAAUUUUAAUAAUAGUAAUAACGAUGAUGAUAAUGAUGAUGACGAUAAUGAUAACAAUAACAAUAAUAAUGAUAAUAGUUAUGUCCCGACAAAUAGAAUAAUUUUAAUCUACCGAAUGUUUGUUCGAAUUGUUUGUGCAUCCAUGCAUACGUAUUAUUAUUGCAUGAUAACACCGGCAACGUCAAGAAUAGCAACAACAAUGAAAAUUAUAAAAUCAAACGAACACUUGUGAAUGCGUGUAUAUGAUUACAAAAGUAAAAAAAAAAAAAUCAUUCGUACAAAAUACCAAUGCAAAGAAGAACCACCCGUGUACACAUACUUCAAAUAACCGCACGAAUGAUCUGUAUGAUAAUAAAAACAACAAUAACAAUAAUAAUAAUAAUGAUGAUAGUAAUUGUCUCAUCGCACUAUUUUAACCGCCUCUCGAUCGAUACAAAAGAGCGGAAUAAUCGUGACAAUUAUGAAUUCAUACACAACAUAUAUUUAAAUAUAUACAUACAUAUGAUUUAUUAUAUACCAAUAAUUGUAUAAUAUAAUGAAUAACAAUAAUAUUAAUGAUAAUAAUGACGCUUCGAUAUGCAGUUAACCCUUUUCUGCCCAAUGAAAUUUUUGCCGACUUUUCGGAUCAUGUAUUUUUCUUGUUGGUCAAGGAAAAGAUGAGUGAAAAAACAAUGUACAUAAUUUUGAAAAAUUUGCUUACCUUUUCGAUUUAAUGGUGGUUUAGUUCAUUUCAUUGUAGCUCAUGUUUUUACAAUCACGCCGAAUUUCUUCAACCUAGUUAUGUUAAUCAAUUUUUUCGUUUCGUUUAGAAUUUUGUGAGGAAAAAAUAAAAACGUUAUUUAAAUAAUUAAAGCGGACAAAUCAAUUGUAGCUGUCUUAAAUGCGAUGAUAUUAUAUUUGGCAGAAAAGGGUUGUUCACUGCAAUUGAAUGAUUCUGGGAAGAUGUUCAUUCGUUUCUUGAUUCUCGGGAGGAUUUUAAUGUACAUUCAACAAUUAGAGUAUCUUUCUCCUUGGCGCUCUAAUUUUUAAUACUUCUGCUACCGGUUUCUCUCUCUCUCUCUCUCUCUCUGUCUGUCUGUCUGUCUGUCUGUUUGUGUCUGUCUGUCCGUCUGUCCGUCCGUCUUUUACCGUUAUACCUGUAGGUUUUAAGUUUGUAUUUUGAUUCUCGUUAUUUCAUUUUGAGUUGAAAUUCACAAGCGAUGUAUUAGUAAGACAGUAAUCAAUAUGGCGGCGAAAAAAGCGAUCAGCUGAUCAUUACCGGGCAAACAAUUAAUGUGAAUUUUUUAGGGCUUGAAAAGUUAUGCAAUGUGACUGUCUUCUAUUUUACUGUGUCAAGUUGCAAUAUAUUGCAGUAAAAACUAUUUUUAUAAUUGAAUACUAGUUAUAUCGCUUUGAGUAGAAAUUGUAACAUCUGCUACCAGAUGUCGCCGCUUAUCGACCAUCAUGCGAACGAAGAUUCGCGUUUCGGCACUCAUUUCAAUACCUUUCGCCCAUUCAUUCGGGCACAAUGAAAUCGAAUCGUAUUCUGUGCGAAAUAGGGAAACACCGCCACAAAUCUGUACAAUUUACGUAAAUUUCGUUGUACCAUAAGGUUGUCGCAAACGUAAAACUGAAUCUCCAUAUUUAGGAACGUGGAACAUAUAACAUGGCGGUAUUACGGACGGUUAGCUUUACUUAUUUCUCUUUUUAAAAUGAAUUUACUCAACAAAUCUGGUUUUUGAAAUGCCACUAUCUCAUUUUACAGUUUUUUCUUCAUCUGAAAUUGUAUUUGCAAUUACAGAAAACAAAAAUUAUUUAUUCUCAAUUAAUGAAGGACGAAAAGGUUGUCGAAACUCAAAACUAUGAAAUUGAUUUACAUAUACAUUCUCUUUUUAUUGUGGAUGUUUUUUUUUAUUUCACAUCCAGUAGAACGGAACUGAAAUGAAUAAUACUUAGAAUCGUUUACCACACCUCGGUAUAAAGUGGCUGAUUUUUAUUUUUUUUCUAUACAUCGGUUUCAGUUUUAUUCUAAGUUUCUCGUUGUACUAACAGUAUGUAACAAUGACAUUAUUAAUAUUAGCAUGAAUAUUUCACGAAAUCUUGUAUUCACUGAAAGUGAAUGCAGUAAUAACGUGAAGUAAAAAAAAAAAUUAUAAUAAUAACGACAGCAACAACAACAACAAUAAUUAUAAUAAUAGUAAUAAUAAUAUCAGAACUAUCAAUUUAGUAACAAAAAAUAAGGGCACGUAUCCAGCAUUUUUACCUUUACGAUAGAUAUGAAAUGUUGACAAAUGAUAAGAAAAUUGUUACUAAUAAUAAGCAUGUUCGAAAUAUAAUCGCGUAUCAGGGUAGAGAAAUGGUGGAAAAAAAGAUGUCGUCUUUGCUCGAUGAUAAUCUUUAUAAUACUUAGUGUCUGGCUCCGUGAAAACUAUUGCAUUUCUGUCGAUUCGUUUCUUCUCUAAACUUCUCUAUAAAUUACAUGUAUGUAUAGUAUAAACAAGAAUGCAGUAAGAAACGGAAAAUUGCGAUAACGACAGUCGAACAAAGAUAAAAUAUGGUAUGCUGAUUUCCGUAAAAUCGUACGGUUUUUGUAGCAGAAAUUUGCGAAUAAUAAGUCUCGCAACACGAGUGAUUAAUAACAAUAACGAUAAGGUAUGUCAAAAACAACAGGACAUAAACAAUACGACAAAUUUCAACGGUCAAGAAAUGAGCGAACGAAAAAACAAAAAAAAAAAGAAAUCAAUAAAUAAUACGUAUGUAUUAUUAUUGACGAACAAGUAGUGAUGAAAUGUUGCAAUGAUUAUCAACGGCAGAAUAAAAAUUGAAUAAAUUAAUAAUAUGUACGUGUAAAUAUAAUACGUACACCAGCAGUGAAACAUCGUCGUGUUAUUAGGUGUAAGUCUUUCAAAAUAAUAAUAACAACAGCAACAAUACCAGCAACAACAACAACAACAACAAUAAUAAUAAUAAUAAUAAUAAUAAUAAUAAUCUUAAAAAUAAUAUACACGAUUGACACACCAAUAAAUUACGUACGCGUAUUUAUAUAUAUUUAUUUGGGUGUGAUAGUAAUAAUAGUUACGACAACAAUGAUUAUGAUAAUAACGACAACAACAAUAUAAUUAUUAUAAUAAUGAUGAUUAUAAUGAUAAUGAUAAUGAUAAUGAUAAUAAUAAAAUACCAUCAACAAUAGCAAAAAGAAUACUAGGCGGAUAAAUAAUUAAUAUAAUUUAAAAUCACGUGACAUUAUCGUCUUUGUUGUAAUGAUAAAAACAAUUAUAAUUAUAACGUUGAUGACGAUAAUGAUGAUAACAAUGAUUUGUGUAAAUUGCGAUGAAAUGGAACUAAAGUGCAUAUUUAAAGAGAGGUGUGAAUAAAUUUGAAAUAUGUAUAAAUGCCUGUUAAUGGAUAGGUCAGAGCGGUGUACAUUGUUUACACUACUUGCGUAUAAGGUGAAUAAGCAUACCUAGUAAUUAAUAGGUAUUAUUUACUUUGAUAAUUAAUAAUAAUUAAUAAUAAUAAUAAUAACAAUUAACAACAACAACAACAACAACAAUAAUAAUAAUAUAGUAACAAUAACAAUGAUAAUGCAACACGAAUCCUUAAUAACGCUAAAUUAAAUUUAUUAACGAGGCCAUACAGAUCUAUUAUAUAGGUUUUAAGUAUUCCCCGACUAAUAUUAUACAUCAUAUAUAUUCCAUAAGUAUGAGGCAUAAAAUGGUGUUUCUUCUUGUAAAAUAACAACAAUAUUACCAGCAAAAAAUUUAAUUAAAUAAAAUGAAUUGAAUAAAUGGAGAGAUAAUUUAUAAAAAAUAUUUAAAAAAUUUAUUUUAAAUCGAAGCACUUAAAAUUGCAUCUAUUCGCGCACGUGUGUAUGACGGGUGUAUUUUGUAUGAUUAUAAUAUCUAUAUUGAAUUAGAGUACUAAAGCGAUGUGAAAAGCGCAUGAAAAGGAAGAAAAAAAAAAAGGCAUGCUCCUUUUUGUUCGACGAAUAUCAUUAUUCUUAUUUAUAAAAUUAUACACAGAUUUCCAAAUGUAUUUGAAAAUUUUCAGUUUUGUGAUAAAAGAAUGUCUCUCAUAAAUUUGUAGUAACGGGAGAAAAAGAAGAUUAAAAUAUCAUAGUAGUUUUUAUAUCUGUUCUGACAUUUUUUGUGAAAUAAUUUUGGUCUAUCAAACUCGCGUAAAGUUCUAAACUGAAUUUAAAAAUAUCUGUCAAAGCCUAUCAACAGGUAUAAAAUAAUAAUAAUAAUAAUAAUAAUAAUAAUAGGCGUCUGAUUCAUGGCAAUUUUUUAAGAACUUGAGUAUAAAACAAGUUACGGAUGUGAAAAAAAUCUGACGAUAAACAUAUUAGAAAAAUAUUGACCAUGGAAAUUUUACAUCUCCCUCGAAUUUUGUAGGAACAUUCGAAUGAUUGUUUCCGUAAUAUAUGCAAUGAUUAUUAUAAAAUUGAUCGAUGUACGCCGAAACUGUAGAUCGCUUCAGGUUGUAUGAAAAAAUUAUUGGUAUAUUUUGGGCGUGAAUUGAUUCAAAUUUGCAGGAAAAAAAAAAAGAAAAAAAACGUUACUAUCAUUAAAACGUCUUGCAAUCGGCUCGUAUUAUCGAUUAGGUGAAAAGGAAUAUAUUUUCUAUUUUUGAAUUGAUUUGCCAAUGGAUCGUAGUGUUUGUAUACUUAUUGGGGUACUUAUGAAAACGUUAAACGUAGCAAAAGUGUAUCUAAUCAUGUGUAAAUCAAUGUCAUCGACGAUUCUAAAUAAUCUGCAGUUUUUUUUCUUUUUUUUUCUUCAUACAUGACAAGAUAGAUUCGAAUCUUGCAAUUGAAAAAUUUCUCUCUCCACCUCAAAACAGCUUGAAAAGCAAGGAAAAACCAGCAGGCUCAAUUAAAUAAUAACUCGUGUAUAUCUGAUACCUCGAAAUUAUUUCAUGCAUCUAAUAUACAGCGCAAACCCAAUUAUUCCACUAAUAAAUGAACGAAAAACAAUAAUUUACAAAAUGUAGAGUUAUAAGAAAAAUUAAUGUUUCAUAAUAUUUCGUCACGUACGCUGUCAAUUUUUUUAAUCUAAUUUUUAACAAAUAUUUUCGAAAUCAUUGCUAUUGUUGUUAUUGUUAUUGUUAUUGUUAUCAUUAUUAUUACUAUAUUAUUAUUUUUUUUUUUUAACGGUUUUGUUGAUCGUUCAUUCGUUAGCUUCAGAUAUAUACAUUAGAAUAGGUAUAAUAAGUGUGCAUUAAGAGCUGUAUAGUAUCUACGGGUAUGAUAAGUCUAAGAAAUUAAUUAUUUAUGAUGUAUAUUCAUAGAGAGAGAGAGAAAUUUUUUGUCGUACCUACAAUUGUGGAAGAAGUGAACAAAAAAUUUUAGAAAAUAGGCGAAUAAAAGGAAUAAAAAGAGUCGGAAAAAUGUAAAUUAAACAUAUAUUAACCCUUAUCCUGUCUUCUGGUUGAAGAUCCAAAAGUUUGUUCGCUUUAUUAUUCAUUUGGGGGAAAAGCCGCGCUCCUUCUACUUUACAAAAUAUAAACAUAACAACAAUUCGCGCGAGCACAUAGGACCCCGUAUGACAGGGUGAGGGUUAAUAAUAAGAAAAAAAGAAACAAAAAAAAAAAAAAAACAAUGUAAUUUAAAAGUGUAUCAGCUUUAAUAAUAAUAAUAAUAACAAUAACAAUAAUAAUCAGUAAUUAAAUACCUUAUAGAUGGAUAAUACAAUAAUUGUACCAAGGCGUAUAUAUGUAACAUAUUUAUCAUGAAAUUGUGUGUAUAUUAUACGCUAUAUAUAUUAUAGUAGGUAUAUGUAUGUUGUGUAACGAAUCGUGAAUUAUUGUGCGGUGAAUGUCCAACAAUCGAUUAAUAAUUACUUUAUUAAAUUGUUCAAUAAUAAUUAUCGACACACACACACGCGUACAUUACACAAUGCACUCUAGCAAGUUUUGAUCGAUCUAUCGAUCAAAUUGUAUUACUUAUUUUGUUUAAUGAAUACACCCACCUAUAUAUUGUGUAUAUAUGAGGAAGCAAAUAUUGAAAAUUGGAUAAUAACCGAAGGAACAUUUCAAAAAAAAAUAAACAUGAGUCUACAGAAGCUUUGAUCGUAGAGAUUGUAUGUUGUAACCCACAGCGGGGGAUUAAAAUUGCAAGAAAGAAAAAUCAAUCGAUAAACUAAAACAACUCGAAAAUAUACUUUACGACAAUAAAAAACAAAAGUUAAUGUUACAUCGGGUAUAGUAAAAGAGAAUGAAGAAAAAAAAAAAAAAAAAAUUAAGCAACUUGAAAUUGAAUCAAUAAAUUAUUAGAAUAAAAACUUGUUAAAUAUAUUUUGAUUACAUUUUUUAAUUGCAUUUGUUUUUCCAAUUUCUUUGUUUUCCAUCGUUAUACUUUUGAAAGGUUUUUUAAUCCAAACACGAUUUUAUUGGAAAAAAGAGACGUAUUUGCAAUGCAAUAAUACCUCCCUCUACUCAUACUGAAACACAAGAAAAAUGCACACCAAUUAAUUUCACUAUAAUAAUAUAUGCCAUAAACUCGAUAGUGUGUUGUAUAUUUGAAAAUUCCAAAUAAUCGUAUGUAUAUUGAAUAUCGUCAUGAUCGAGUAUAUAUAAAAAGAGAAAAGAGUAUAAAAGUCUAAUAAAAGACAGAAAAAAGAAUUGUACCUAAGAAAACAAUAAUCCACGUAUACAUGAUGUACAAUAUUAUAAUUAUUAUCUAUUAUUCGAGAGCGUGAGAAAAAAAAUAUUAAAAAUGUGUAUGUAAUAAAUAAACGUGUAAAAAAGGACAAGCAGGAAAAAAAAAAGGUAAACAAAAAACCAAAUUGAAUAAUUCUAACGGGUAAUACGAUAAAAGUUAGGUAUAAAAUUAUACGAUCCUAACAUCAUAAAAAUACGCAUUGCAAAGUUUUAGCAGGAAAGAUGAAGACAAAAAGUUUGCGAUAAUAAAGAUAACUAUACGAUAAUCGUGCCGUUUAUAUAUCGACAAUACAUCUACUAAUUGUCGUAAUAAUAGAAAUAACAUUCAUUUAAAUCUGGGCUGCACAUUGAAAGUAACUUAAUAAUUAUGUUUGUUAGAUUUUUAUUAUUACCUUCUAUUAUAAUUAUAUUAUCAAAGAAGGAAAGAAUUAAUGAAUAAGGGGAAGAAGAAGGAAAGAAACUGAAGGAAAACCUGAUUAACAAAAAUAUGCCAGCAAAAUUUUUUUAUUGAAUAGUUUCUAAGAAAGGUAUUUAUAACAAAUAUUACGAUGAAUAAAUUGUAAAUAUUAUAUGAAUCGUAGAUUAUUGUAAGCUAUAUUGUCAUACAUAAUAUAUGUAUGUGUGGUGUAUAUGUAUGGUUGAUAAUUGAGUAUUCUCUGGAGAAAAAAGAAAAACGAAAAAAAAAAAAAAAAAACAACAA